rnacentral:rRNA from 1 species
AGAGACCAACAGGGAUUGCCUCAGUAACGGCGAGUGAAGCGGCAACAGCUCAAAUUUGAAAUCUGGGGUCUUUCGGCCUCCGAGUUGUAAUUUGAAGAGGAUGUUUCGGUGCGACCUGGGCCUAAGUUCCUUGGAACAGGACGUCAUGGAGGGUGAGAAUCCCGUACAUGGCUGCAGGUUUGCUUCUAUGUGAAACUCCUUCGAAGAGUCGAGUUGUUUGGGAAUGCAGCUCAAAAUGGGUGGUAAAUUUCAUCUAAAGCUAAAUAUUGGCGGGAGACCGAUAGCGCACAAGUAGAGUGAUCGAAAGAUGAAAAGCACUUUGAAAAGAGAGUUAAACAGUACGUGAAAUUGUUGAAAGGGAAGCGCUUGCAAUCAGACUCGCCUUCAGUUGAUCAGCCUUCCUUCUGGUUGGUGCACUCUGCUGUUGGCGGGCCAGCAUCAGUUGGGACGGCGGGACAAAGGCUUCAGGAAUGUGGCUCACCUCGGUGAGUGUUAUAGCCUGUUGCGCCAUGCCGCCAGCCCCGACUGAGGUCCACGGUUCGCGCCUAGGAUGCUGGCUUAAUGGUUGUAAGCGACCCGUCUUGAAACACGGACCAAGGAGUCUAACAUCUAUGCGAGUCUUUGGGUGUAAAACCCAUGGGCGAAAUGAAAGUGAACGGAGGUGGGAGUCCUCGGAUGCACCAUCGACCGAUCCUGAUGUUCUCGGAUGGAUUUGAGUAGGAGCAUAGCUGUUGGGACCCGAAAGAUGGUGAACUAUGCCUGAAUAGGGUGAAGCCAGAGGAAACUCUGGUGGAGGCUCGCAGCGGUUCUGACGUGCAAAUCGAUCGUCAAAUUUGGGUAUAGGGGCGAAAGACUAAUCGAACCAUCCUGC